CCUACGGGUGGCAGCAGUGAGGAAUAUUGGUCAAUGGGCGAGAGCCUGAACCAGCCAAGUCGCGUGAGGGAGUACUGCCCUAUGGGUUGUAAACCUCUUUUGUCGGGGAGCAAAAGCCGGACGUGUCCGGCUGUGAGAGUACCCGAAGAAAAAGCAUCGGCUAACUCCGUGCCAGCAGCCGCGGUAAUACGGAGGAUGCGCGCGUUAUCCGGAUUUAUUGGGUUUAAAGGGUGCGCAGGCGGAGUUUUAAGUCAGCGGUAAAAUCGUGGGGCUCAACCCCAUCCCGCCGUUGAAACUGGGGAUCUAGAGUGUGCGAGAGGUAUGCGGAAUGCGUGGUGUAGCGGUGAAAUGCAUAGAUAUCACGCAGAACCCCGAUUGCGAAGGCAGCAUACCGGUGCACAACUGACGCUCAGGCACGAAAGCGUGGGUAUCGAACAGGAUUAGAUACCCUGGUAGUC
rnacentral:rRNA from 1 species